AAUUUAAGCAUAUAAGUAAGCGGAGGACAAGAAACUAAAUAGGAUUCCCCCAGUAAUGGCGAAUGAACAGGGAAGAGCUCAGCAUGGAAAUCGGGGCCUCCCGGCCUUGAAUUGUAGUCUUGAGAUGUACUGCCAACGGAGGCGCAGAUGUAAGCCUCUUGGAAAAGAGCAUCAACGAGGGUGAGAGUCCCGUUUGUCAUCUGCAGUCCCCCGUGCACGGUGUACAUUCUAAGAGUCACGUUCCUCGGGAUUGGAGCGCAAAGUGGGUGGUAAAUUUCAUCUAAAGCUAAAUAUUGGUUCGAGACCGAUAGCAAACAAGUACCAUGAGGGAAAGGUGAAAAGGACUUUGAAAAGAGAGUUAAAAGUGCCUGAAAUUGCUGAAAGGGAAGCGAAUGGAACCAGUGUUCUUGAUGAGAUUGUCGCGUACUCUGGUGAUUGCUGGGUGCUCCACCGCAAGGGGGGCAUUUGGUUUUGAGCUAGAUGUGCGUGGUGUUUCUUGUCUUGUGUGUCACCGUCGGUGCACGAGCGAGUAAACCUCCAGGGAGAUGGUAACUCGUCUGCGGAUGAGUGAAUGUCUUUGGUAGUACUCAUUUGUGUAUCGAUCCCUGCGUGUCUGGUUGCAGUGUUUGAGUCGUCUGGAAGCUUCUGAAAGGCUUGCCCUCGAUGAACUUUCUGGGCUCCUUGAGCAUCUCCCUGACACAAAGAC
rnacentral:rRNA from 1 species